GACAUAGGUGGCGAACGUUAUCCGGAUUUAUUGGGCGUAAAGAGCGUGUAGGCGGCCAGGUAGGUCUGCUGUGAAAACUCGAGGCUUAACCUCGAGCUGUCGGCGGAAACCAUCUGGCUAGAGUCCGGAAGAGGAGAAUGGAAUUCCCGGUGUAGCGGUGAAAUGCGCAGAUAUCGGGAAGAACACCCGUGGCGAAGGCGGUUCUCUGGGACGGUACUGACGCUGAGACGCGAAAGCGUGGGGAGCGAACAGG
rnacentral:rRNA from 1 species